GUUAAGUUAGUUUUCAGAGUGCCUAAGUGGCCAGUCUUAAACUGUAACCAACUGGAAAUCAGAAGCUAAUGUCUAAAAAAAAAAAUAAUCUUAUAUAGUGACACAAAAAAGUACUUUGGAUGGAAGCGUUAAAGAUUGCGGAUUUGCAGCAAAUAAGUUCAACUCAGAAGCAAAACAGCACCGAUGACAAUAGUUACUCUCGGAACUUGCCUCGAAUAAAAAUUCAACUUAUAAGGAAACCUUUGAAAACAUCUGAAAAACUGAUAUCUGAAGAGUAAAUACCUAUGGACUUCCAGCUAGUAAUUGCGUUUAUGUAACAUAAUUAGAAGUGAAAAACAAAAGUGUCAUUUGCAAUGCAAUAUGUAUUGCCAAUGCGUAGUCCUCCAGAUAAGUAAGGAGGCGGAAAACAUGACGUGCACACCCUGAAGACAGGCGAGGUAGGGAAGGGCCUCGGUCUGGAUGAGGAGAGAGGUCUCUGAGGUGAAGUUGAGCCCGGUACCCAUGUCCCUCAGGGGGCUGCAGCUAAAUCUCCAUAAGAGCCGUUCGGUUCAACCUAACCUAAUCUAAACUGAUCAGUCCAACUCAGAAGCGGCAUAUCAGCAAUGAAAAUAAUUACUCUCGGAACUUGCCUGGAAUAAAGAUUCAACUCAUAAGGAAACCUUUGGAAACAUCUGGAAAACACUGAUAUUUCAAGAGUGAAUACCAAUUUACAAAAUAUUCUUUAUAUAUGUAUAUAAUAAGGAUGACUUGUAGAUUUGCAUUUAGUAUAUACAUAUGUAGUAGAUUUUCGCUUACUGCUUCCAUUUUUCUGCACAAUAACUUGUU